UAUACAAAUAGAUAACUUUAUUUCUCCAUGCUAGAGAAAUUACUAACAUACUGUGGUGUUCCUUAUCUAGAACAAAGGAAAUGUGUCUGCUGCUAUUACUGAUCUCAGUAUUAUAAUGGAGCCUAGGGGAAAUUCAGAUUUGGACAAAUUUGUGUCAAGCAGUGAAAAAUGUGGAAGUCUUUUAACAUUUUUCAGAAGUCUUUCAUCUUAUGCUGAAUGGUAUGAACAUUGCAGUUGCACCUUCCUACAUUUCAAGG